rnacentral:misc_RNA from 1 species
UCAGUGUUCACUUGGAGUAAGCGGCGUUCCAAAGUUAUUGUUAUCUUUAGUUUAGUCUUUUCUCGCACAUCAUUCCCUUUGCCAUCAGAAUUCCGGUAUUUUGGUCCAGGAUUUGCUCUCUGGAACUAGUGAAUCGUAUUGAGGGGAUCCCCUGGAAAUUUUGGUAGAAGAGGAGCCUUUUGAAAGCCGAAAAGAUUUUUGGGUUCAACAUGAACAUGUCUGGUUAUAACCAGCAGUACGUGCUGAGUGCUGGUCAGCUCCAACAACAACAGCAGCAGGCUCAACAACAGGCUGCAGCCGCCGCCGCAGCAGCAGCAGCCGCCGCUCAGCAUCAGCAAGCCCAGCAGCAUCCCCAACAACAUUCCGCCGUGCCGCAGGCUCAGCAGCAGCAGCAGCAACUCGUGGCCGCUCAACAAUUGGGUACUCCACAUGGUGGGCAGAGUGCGCAGGAGGGGCUGGCUGCGGCCGCCCAACUGGAAUUGACGGGAUCCACGAGCACCAAUGUAGAGGCUGCUGCAGCCGCUUUAGCCAUCCGCCGCCCCUUUGACCCCACGGCACAUGAACUUGACGCCAAUUUCCGACUGACCCGAUUCGCGGAUCUAAAAGGAUGAGGGUGCAAAGUCCCUCAGGAAGUUUUACUUAAGCUUCUUGAGGGACUCUCGGAUGAAACGGGCAACUCACAUGAGCAGGAACACGCGCACUUCAUGCACAUGGCCAUACCUAGGAUCGGAAUCGGAAUGGAUUCUUCCAUCACACCCCUCCGACACGGGGGACUCUCCCUCGUUCAAACCACGGAUUUCUUCUAUCCCAUAGUAGAGGAUCCUUAUAUGCAAGGUAAAAUUGCUUGCGCCAAUGUGCUCAGCGACCUGUAUGCCAUGGGUGUCACCGAGUGUGACAACAUGCUUAUGCUUCUCGCCAUCUCUACCAAAAUGACCGAAAAAGAAAGAGAUGUCGUCGUUCCUCUCAUGAUGAGAGGCUUUAAGGAUUGUGCCAUGGAAGCAGGAUCCACUGUAACUGGAGGUCAAACUGUCAUGAACCCUUGGUGUACCAUCGGAGGCGUUGCUACUACCGUCUGUCAACCCAAUGAAUUCAUUAUUCCGGAUUCUGCGGUCGUGGGAGACGUGCUUGUCUUGACAAAACCCUUGGGAACUCAAGUGGCUGUUAACGCUCAUCAAUGGCUUGAUCAGCCAGAGAGAUGGAACAGAAUUAAAUUGGUAGUAUCAGAAGAAGACGUACGAAAGGCUUAUCAAAGAUCUAUGGAUUCCAUGGCUCGAUUAAACAGGACCGGAGCUCGCCUCAUGCACAAAUAUAAUGCUCAUGGAGCUACAGAUGUCACUGGUUUUGGAUUGCUUGGUCACGCUCAAUCUCUUGCCAGAAAUCAAAAGAAUGAUGUGUCUUUUGUUAUUCAUAAUUUACCAGUGAUUGCUAAAAUGGCUGCUGUGGCUAAAGCUUGUGGAAACAUGUUUCAGCUUCUUCAAGGACAUUCUGCUGAAACAUCUGGCGGUCUUCUUAUUUGCUUGCCGAGAGAACAGGCUGCAGCUUAUUGCAAAGACAUAGAAAAACAAGAAGGGUAUCAAGCCUGGAUUAUUGGAAUCGUCGAAAAAGGCAAUCGAACAGCUAGGAUAAUUGAUAAACCCAGAGUGAUAGAAGUACCAGCUAAGGAGAAAGAAGGAGUACUCUGGUAAUUGAAAGACCAUUUAUAAGAAGAGUCCAUCAUUCCUUCAUCAAAGUUAUUCAGUGUAUUUUUCGUUCACUUUCAACACAAUUUAUCUAUUACAAUCUAUACAGAGAACAUUUCUUCUUACUAAUGAUAGUAGCUAAAAGAAAAUGCUAAAAAAAUGUCUAUACUUAUAUAUUUUCUUCUCUCCUUUUCUCUCUUUUUUUCCAUCUACAUAUACACAUACUAUAUCUCUAUUUUUUUAGUUUUGCCCUUUUAAAACGAAACACUUAAAAGCUGUCGGGUAUCCAAUCACCUAUCUAUAUUUUUAUGUACAAUUAUGAUGAUUAUUUUUCAUGGAAAGAAAUUGUGUUCUACAUGUGAGAGAAGAAAACAAUACUAAUUUUAACUUUAAACCCAUUAGUAAGGGCCAAUUUGGUAGUAGUUUUAUUCAAAAUUAUCAAAACGGAGGAAAAGAAGCAAAUAUACAUACAAGGUUCUAAUAUAUAAUACUGCAUAUAUAUAUAUUUUUUUUUUUUUGAAAUUUCAAGAGAGAAAAGGGACUAUUUUUUAUGAUGGUAGAUGACUUAAAAGUUUUGUCUUAGUUUGGGGCAAAGGGUCAUUUUCUUGAUGUUUAAUGUAAUUGUCGCUAUUUUCGAUUCACAUCCUUUUAACAAAACAGGUUUUUUUUAUUAGCGCGUGGUAACUAAAGCCUAUUGGAACUAUUUGUAACUAAAUUAUAAAGGGAUAUGAACUUGGAGUUCUUUAAAUUAAUUGUCACUUUCAUUAGGUGAGGACCCUGGCUGGAUAUUUUUUAUAACAGUAAUAGAAUUGGCUACAAUAAAAAGAAAUUCUCUUGUUUA